UACGAAGGGGGCUAGCGUUGCUCGGAAUCACUGGGCGUAAAGGGUGCGUAGGCGGGUCUUUAAGUCAGGGGUGAAAUCCUGGAGCUCAACUCCAGAACUGCCUUUGAUACUGAGGAUCUUGAGUAUGGGAGAGGUGAGUGGAACUGCGAGUGUAGAGGUGAAAUUCGUAGAUAUUCGCAAGAACACCAGUGGCGAAGGCGGCUCACUGGCCCAUUACUGACGCUGAGGCACGAAAGCGUGGGGAGCAAACAGG
rnacentral:rRNA from 1 species